rnacentral:rRNA from 1 species
AAAGCCUCUAAGCAUCAGGUAACAUCAAAUCGUACCCCAAACCGACACAGGUGGUCAGGUAGAGAAUACCAAGGCGCUUGAGAGAACUCGGGUGAAGGAACUAGGCAAAAUGGUGCCGUAACUUCGGGAGAAGGCACGCUGAUAUGUAGGUGAAGCGACUUGCUCGUGGAGCUGAAAUCAGUCGAAGAUACCAGCUGGCUGCAACUGUUUAUUAAAAACACAGCACUGUGCAAACACGAAAGUGGACGUAUACGGUGUGACGCCUGCCCGGUGCCGGAAGGUUAAUUGAUGGGGUUAGCGGUAACGCGAAGCUCUUGAUCGAAGCCCCGGUAAACGGCGGCCGUAACUAUAACGGUCCUAAGGUAGCGAAAUUCCUUGUCGGGUAAGUUCCGACCUGCACGAAUGGCGUAAUGAUGGCCAGGCUGUCUCCACCCGAGACUCAGUGAAAUUGAACUCGCUGUGAAGAUGCAGUGUACCCGCGGCAAGACGGAAAGACCCCGUGAACCUUUACUAUAGCUUGACACUGAACAUUGAGCCUUGAUGUGUAGGAUAGGUGGGAGGCUUUGAAGUGUGGACGCCAGUCUGCAUGGAGCCGACCUUGAAAUACCACCCUUUAAUGUUUGAUGUUCUAACGUUGGCCCGUAAUCCGGGUUGCGGACAGUGUCUGGUGGGUAGUUUGACUGGGGCGGUCUCCUCCUAAAGAGUAACGGAGGAGCACGAAGGUUGGCUAAUCCUGGUCGGACAUCAGGAGGUUAGUGCAAUGGCAUAAGCCAGCUUGACUGCGAGCGUGACGGCGCGAGCAGGUGCGAAAGCAGGUCAUAGUGAUCCGGUGGUUCUGAAUGGAAGGGCCAUCGCUCAACGGAUAAAAGGUACUCCGGGGAUAACAGGCUGAUACCGCCCAAGAGUUCAUAUCGACGGCGGUGUUUGGCACCUCGAUGUCGGCUCAUCACAUCCUGGGGCUGAAGUAGGUCCCAAGGGUAUGGCUGUUCGCCAUUUAAAGUGGUACGCGAGCUGGGUUUAGAACGUCGUGAGACAGUUCGGUCCCUAUCUGCCGUGGGCGCUGGAGAACUGAGGGGGGCUGCUCCUAGUACGAGAGGACCGGAGUGGACGCAUCACUGGUGUUCGGGUUGUCAUGCCAAUGGCACUGCCCGGUAGCUAAAUGCGGAAGAGAUAAGUGCUGAAAGCAUCUAAGCACGAAACUUGCCCCGAGAUGAGUUCUCCCUGAGACUUAGAGUCUCCUGAAGGAACGUUGAAGACGACGACGUUGAUAGGCCGGGUGUGUAAGCGCAGCGAUGCGUUGAGCUAACCGGUA